rnacentral:rRNA from 1 species
UACGUAGGGGGCGAGCGUUAUCCGGAGUUACUGGGCGGAAAGCGCACGCAGGCGGUCUGCUAAGUUUGGAGUGACAGUGCUCGGCUUAACUGAGCAAGUGCUUCGAAAACUGACAGACUUGAGGGCUUCAGAGGGACAUGGAAUUCCGGGUGUAGUGGUGAAAUGCGUAGAUAUCCGGAGGAACACCAAAGGCGAAGGCAGUGUCCUGGGAAGUACCUGACGCUCAGGUGCGAAAGCUAGGGGAGCGAACGGG